rnacentral:RNase_P_RNA from 1 species
UCAGAUGGUCGGGCGAUUGCACCACUAAUUGCCAAAAGGUAGGUGGUGAGGAAAGUCCGGGCUCCAAGCAUUAAUGACGGCGGAUAAUGUCCGCCAAAGGUGACUUUAGGGAAAGUGCCACAGAAAACAAACCGCCUAAUAUAUUGGGUAAGGGUGAAAAGGUGGGGUAAGAGCCCACCGCUUUAUUGGUAACAAUAGAGGCAUGGUAAACCCCGUCAGGAGCAAGACCGAAUAGGAACACGUUUUGGGUAACCAAUGGCAAAAUGCAUGCCGAUGUUCGGGUAGGUCGCGUGAGGUAAGGGGUAAUCCUUAUCCAAGAUGAAUAAUCGCCAUCCAGCAAUGGAUACAGAACCCGGCUUAUAGACCAUCUGAUAAA